rnacentral:rRNA from 1 species
AUGGUGCAAACGAGGAGGCAUAUUAUGUACCCUUUGUUUUAUCGAUUGUUGAAACUAGUAAUUGUGUUGCCUAUUGCUACUGCUAUAGUUGAGAGGUGUUUCUCAGCAAUGAAAUUGGUCAAAACUUGCUUGUGCAAUCGCCUCAAUGAUGAUAGCUUGAGUGAUGAUGUUAUUUGUUAUGUGGAGAAGUAA